rnacentral:rRNA from 1 species
UACGAAGGGGGCUAGCGUUGCUCGGAAUCACUGGGCGUAAAGCGCACGUAGGCGGAUUCUUAAGUCAGGGGUGAAAUCCUGGAGCUCAACUCCAGAACUGCCUUUGAUACUGCGGGCCUCGAGGGAGGUAGGGGCGUGCGGAACUUCCGGUGGAGCGGUGAAAUGCGUAGAUAUCGGAAAGAACACCAACGGCGAAAGCACUCUGCUGGGCCGACACUGACACUGAGAGACGAAAGCUAGGGGAGCGAAUGGG